rnacentral:rRNA from 1 species
CGGAGGGGUGCGAGCGUUGUCCGGAUUUUAUUGGGUUUUAAAAGGGUGCGUAGGCGGCUUUAUAAGUCUGGGGGUGAAAGCCCGCUGCUCAACAGCGGAACUGCCCUGGAUACUGUAGAGCUUGAGGAUAGACGAGGUUGGCGGAAUAGAAGAUGUAGCGGUGAAAUGCAUAGAUAUCUUCUAGAACCCCGAUUGCGAAGGCAGCUGACUAGACUGUAUCUGACGCUGAGGCACGAAAGCGUGGGAGCGAACAGGAUU